rnacentral:tRNA from 1 species
GCAGGGGUGUCCGAGCUGGCCAAAGGGGGUGGACUUAAGAUCCUCUGGCGUAGGCCUACGUGGGUUCGAAUCCCAUCCCCUGCAC